rnacentral:rRNA from 1 species
GACCUCGAAUCAGGCAGGACUACCCGCUGAACUUAAGCAUAUCAA